rnacentral:lncRNA from 1 species
CCUCCACCUCCACCCCCCACUGAGCGUACACCAGGAAGCACGGACGCGCGGCCGUUUUCCUUUUUUUUUUCUGCUCUUUUUUUCUUUCUGUUGUUUUUCUUCCGGGGUUCAUCCGUUCAUCCACUCGGGGCCGGAGGGCGUAGAUGUGGACACCGAACACCGAACACCGACCGCGGCCGAGGAGGAGACUGACAGGCGGAUCCGUCCGGUCCGGGCUCCGCGGUGGAUGCGUCUGACUGCACCGGAGACACACGGUGUCUGUUAGCAGUAUGGGCCAACAUCUAGGAAAGAAGGAGUUCUCCACAGACAGUAAGGUGUCGUCACCUGAACCCACAGCGGCGCUGACGACGGCAGAGACGGCGGAUCCAGAACCCCAGGACGAAGUGUUCGGUAAGACGAUAAAUCUGUAAACGGACGGUGAAUGUACACGACAGUUCAGAGGAUGAACAGAAAAAACAAACAGAAAAACAAACAGAAAAAACAAACAGAAAAACAAACAGAAGAAGUCCGACAUUGACACGUCAUUGAUCCAACUCCAUGGGUUUCACUGGUGAAUCAAUGUUGUAGAAGAUGAUGGUGUUUCCACAGUAACUAUGGAACCUCUGAAUGUCCAAAUAUGGUCAUAUCUGAUGACCAUGAAAAGAUGAAGAACUGUAUUUUACACCAAUUACUGAUAAUAUUAGAAUAUGCACAAUAUAUAAUAUAUGUGUAUUUAUAAUCACAGGAUUAAAUAUGAUAAAGUGAUAACAGUAACAUUGAUAUAAGUAAUAAGUAGUAUAAGUAAUAGCAGUAAAUAAUAAUAAUAAUAAUAAUAAUAAUAAUAAUACAGGGACAGAUGGAAGUGGACUGGAUUGUGCUUCAUUUCCAGGUCCAGUUGAUGUCCUAUUGAUAUUUGUAUUGAUUCCUUUUGCUGUGGUUAUAGAAUCAGUCGAACACAUGUUGAACCAGUCGCUCUCAGCCCUGAUCAACCUCAGAUUAUGGAACAGAACCAGGUCAUGGUCCAGAGACGCUGGUGUCCAUGGAUGGAACUGAGCAUGUGUCAGUGGAUAUGAUGAUGUCAUCAUAGGCGUUGGUCUGGAGGUCCUGAACGUUCAUCAGAUGGAUGUGUUCGCUGAUCGAUCGGCUCCUGCUUCAGUCCAUUAACGACCCUGGUCUUAAA